rnacentral:rRNA from 1 species
UACAGAGGUCCCGAGCGUUGUUCGGAUUCAUUGGGCGUAAAGGGUGCGUAGGCGGCGGAGCAAGUCUGAUGUGAAAUCCCGGGGCUCAACCCCCGGAACUGCAUUGGAUACUGCUUUUGCUAGAGUACUGGAGAGGGAACUGGAAUUUACGGUGUAGCAGUGAAAUGCGUAGAGAUCGUAAGGAAGGCCAGUGGCGAAGGCGAGUUCCUGGACAGUUACUGACGCUGAGGCACGAAGGCCAGGGGAGCAAACGGG